rnacentral:rRNA from 1 species
UACGUAGGGUGCGAGCGUUAACCGGAAUUACUGGGCGUAAAGCGCGCGCAGGCGGUGAUGUAAGUCCGAUGUGAAAUCCCCGGGCUUAACCUGGGAACUGCAUUGGUGACUGCAUUGCUGGAGUAUGGCAGAGGGGGGUGGAAUUCCCCGUGUAGCAGUGAAAUGCGUAGAGAUGUGGAGGAACACCGGUGGCGAAGGCAGCCCCCUGGGCCAAUACUGACGCUCAUGCACGAAAGCGUGGGGAGCAAACAGG